rnacentral:misc_RNA from 1 species
GAAAUGCGAUAAGUAAUGUGAAUUGCAGAAUUCAGUGAAUCAUCGAAUCUUUGAACGCACCUUGCGCUCCUUGGUAUUCCUUGGAGCAUGCCUGUUUGAGUAUCAUGAAAUCUUCAAAGUAAAUCUUUUGUUAACUCAAUUGGUUUCUACUUUGGUAUUGGAGGUCUUUGCAGCUUCACACCUGCUCCUCUUUGUUCAUUAGCUGGAUCUCAGUGUUAUGCUUGGUUCCACUCGUCGUGAUAAGUUAUCUAUCGCUGAGGACACUGUAAAAGGUGGCCAAGGUAAAUGCAGAUGAACCGCUUCUAAUAGUCCAUUGACUUGGACAAUACUUUUAUGAUCUGAUCUCAAAUCAGGUAGGACUACCCGCUGAACUUAAGC